UUUACCCAUACUGGGGAGAG
rnacentral:misc_RNA from 1 species